rnacentral:rRNA from 1 species
GAGUUUGAUCAUGGCUCAGGAUGAACGCUGGCGGCGUGCCUAAUACAUGCAAGUCGAGCGAACGGACGAGAAGCUUGCUUCUCUGAUGUUAGCGGCGGACGGGUGAGUAACACGUGGAUAACCUACCUAUAAGACUGGGAUAACUUCGGGAAACCGGAGCUAAUACCGGAUAAUAUUUUGAACCGCAUGGUUCAAAAGUGAAAGACGGUCUUGCUGUCACUUAUAGAUGGAUCCGCGCUGCAUUAGCUAGUUGGUAAGGUAACGGCUUACCAAGGCAACGAUGCAUAGCCGACCUGAGAGGGUGAUCGGCCACACUGGAACUGAGACACGGUCCAGACUCCUACGGGAGGCAGCAGUAGGGAAUCUUCCGCAAUGGGCGAAAGCCUGACGGAGCAACGCCGCGUGAGUGAUGAAGGUCUUCGGAUCGUAAAACUCUGUUAUUAGGGAAGAACAUAUGUGUAAGUAACUGUGCAUAUCUUGACGGUACCUAAUCAGAAAGCCACGGCUAACUACG